rnacentral:rRNA from 1 species
UACGUAGGGGGCUAGCGUUGUCCGGAUUUAUUGGGCGUAAAGAGCGUGUAGGCGGCCAGGUAGGUCUGCUGUGAAAACUCGAGGCUUAACCUCGAGAUGUCGGCGGAAACCAUCUGGCUAGAGUCCGGAAGAGGAGAGUGGAAUUCCUGGUGUAGCGGUGAAAUGCGCAGAUAUCAGGAAGAACACCCGUGGCGAAAGCGGCUCUCUGGAACGGUACUGACGCUGAGACGCGAAAGCGUGGGGAGCGAACAGG